rnacentral:lncRNA from 1 species
GCCGCGGCCGGGAGGGACCGAGCGGGGAGCAAGGCCUGCGGGGAGGCGCAGGAUGGACGCGUUGGCUGUCAUGAUGUAGGACCUCCUGACCUAGAACCAUGCCCGGCGCAGGGAGAACAACGAGCUUACGGACCGGGUGCGGGGGCUGCUGUGCGAGAAAGCCUACCUGCUGGCCCGGGAGCGUUCGCCGGCCCACCUGGUGGCUUUCCCUGGACGUUUAACGGCGACUCCGCCCGGCCUCCCGACUUUUUGAUGCAGGCGUUCUCUUACAUGACUUUCUUCGAGGCUAGAUUCUCGAAAGACAUCCUGAAGGUGGCUUUCUUAAUUAGCUGCCUCACCGGCUGGCGGAGCAGUUCGUAGUCGCCUACAUCGAGAGGGAGAGCCCCGUCCUGGCUCAGUACUGGGGCUUCGUGGACGCGCUGUAGCGGGUCUUCGCCGUCGUGGGUAGGAAACAGUCGGGCCGGAUCCCCGGUGUCUGGGGAGCGGCUGCCGGCCGGGCCCGCGCGAGCCGCUUCACUCCUACAAGCCCGGCUCACUAGUUCCAAGCUGCUGGACUUUGACCCUCGCUGGGAAGCUUGAUCGCCGCCUGUUCUCGCCAAUCUCUAUGCCUUUGCACUGCCCAGCAACCCGGUCACUGCCCAGGACCUGUUAAAAGUUGAAUGGACCUCCCAGAAUCACGCCGCUGCCACCGCCGUUUCUAGAGACGGCUUUUGGCCACCUUUGAGAAUCAGGGUCAAACUUGGAAGGGCCUGCAUUUGUCACACUUCCUCGGACACUAAUUUGGAUAGUUCAGGCCCAGAGACGGCUUCCCGGGUUAGUGUGCCUGACAACACUGAAGAAAAAUUGUGACAUUUUCCUUCCCCAGAAUUACUUCGUUUUAUACAUUUCACUUCUCUUCUGAAAUCACAGCAAUGCCAGUUUGCGCCUUUUGGUCUGAGGAACGCAGGCCCUGGCCACUACCAGGAAAAAAACCUUCUGGAUUUCAGCUUUGGCAAGCUUCCUCUGUUUCUGAGACACCUCCAUCACCUGGGUUACAAUCCCAUCCAUGAUUUUCCCCAUCUCCAGGCAUUUUUCAUGGAAAGCUCCUCAUGCUUUUUAAUUCCAGUUUAUCCAUUUGUGUGGCUUUAACCUCCACAUCCAGGUCUUUCUGGCUAAACUGCAGUAUAUCCACAAUGGGGCCAAUGGACACAUAAGGGAGGCCCUAUCACAGGAACACGAACACCCGGAGUCGCUAGAAAUCAGAUUCCACCGGCUUUGCUUCAGGCCGACUUCCUAAGGAAGGCAUGGUAGCAUCACAGAUGCUGUUUGUCUCAGUUUCCUGAGAAGCCAGUUUCUUAGAGCUGUCAUUCAAGAGUGGGUCAAAUUUGAGAUAUAAAAACCUUUCUCAAGGUAGACUCUUUGGCCCCUAUGCCUAGUAUGUCAGCUGGGCCUCUGAAGCUCUCCUCUUUGAGGUCCUGGCAGGCUCUGGCCCCUGUUGAGAAGGGGAAGCAGUCAUGUGAACUCAUGUGCUGGAAGAAUCCACUCUACCCCUUCCCUGGCUUCUCUGCUGCAAUUUUUGUCUUUAAACGUAUUUUCAGAUCCUUUGCACAUGGCCUGCUAUCAACAAUCCUCUACAAUGAUUCUCAGCAUCACCUAGGGAGCUUAUGUAAAAUCUCAAAUUCCUGGGCCCUAUCCCCAGAGUUUCUUAUCAAGUAAGUCUGCAUUGGGAUCUGAGGAUUUGCAUCUCUAACAAAAAUUCCUAGGCGAUGCUCACACUGUUGGUGUAAGGUUUCCUUGAUGGAGAACUAUCAAAGCAGUCAAAGCUAUCAAAAUAAAAAAGAAUUCUGAUUGGGUGCAGUGGCUCACACCUGUCAUUCCAGCACUUUGAGAGGCCAAGGUGGGCAGAUCACAUGAGGCCAGGAGUUCAAGACCAGCCUGGCCAACAUGGCAGAAACCCCAUCUCUACUAAAAAUACCAAAAUUAGCCGGGCAUGGUGGAACACACCUGCAAUCCCAGCUACUCGGGAGGCUGAGGCAAGAGAAUCGCUUGAACCUGGGAGGCAGAAGUUGCAGUGAAACAAGUUGGUGCCAAUGCAUUCCAGCCUGGAUGAUGGAGCGAGACUCUGUCUCAAGAAAAAAAAAACAAAAACAAAAACAGAACUCUGCCUCAUAGCGUCUUUUAAGUUAUACACUGGACCUAUCCUUUCCUCACUGACAGACAUUUUAAAAAUUUUUUGGUAAGGCCUAGUUCAUAUAAAAUGUAAUCCAAGCCAAAAGUUAACAAGAAUAAGGGGAGGAAAGGGGACUCCAAUAGCAGAGAAAGGUAUUUACCUGGGAUAUACACUGCAAGAAAAUCAAAGCUAUAAGAAACGUCCAUGAAUAGUAGCCAUAAGGCAUCAGAGUGAUAAAAUUCCUGUCCCUAGGAGGGAAUAUUGGAGUUUGCCAGAGAAACAGAAUGAGAGAGACAGAGAGGUUUAUUGUAGGAAUUGGCUCAUAUGAUUACGGAGGCUGAGAAGACCCACGAUCUGCCAUCUGCAAGCUGGAGAAUCAGGAAAGCUGGAGGUGUAAUUCAGUCAAGUCCAAUGGCCAGAGAAGCAAGUGUACUGAUAUCCAAGAGCAGGAGAAAAUAGAUGUCCCAGAACAAGCAGAGAGGCUGAUUUUGUCCUUCCUCUGCCUUUUUGUUUCAUAUGGGGCACUGAAUGGACUGAUGCCCAUCCACAUUAGUGAGGGUGGAUCUUCUUUACUCAGUCUACCAGUAGAAAUGUCAAUGACUUCCAGAAACACCCUCACCAACACACGUGGAAAUAAUGUUUUACCAGGUAUCUGGGCAUCCCUUGGUUCACUCAAGUUGACACAAAAUUAACCAUCACAGAAGGAGACUGGCCUUACUCUGAAAUUAGGAAACUAAAGAAGUGACCAGAAUGGAGACUAGGUAGAGACAACUAGUUCUCUACCAAACAUGUACAGUUAUUCGUUGGUAUCUGAAGGGGAUUGGUUCCAGGAACUCUCAGGGAUACCAAAAUCUGCAGGUGCUCAAGUCAUUUAUAUAAAAUAUUACAGUAUUUGCAUAUAACCUUUGCACAUCUUCCAUAUACUUUAAAUCAUCUCUACAUUACUUAUAAUAAUGAAUGUGUAAAUGCUAUGAAAAUAGUUACUACACUAUUGUUUAUUUGUAUUUUUAUUGAAUUGUUUUGGGGUGGGGGGCAGCUGUAUCUUUCUUAGUAAUAGAACCCCUGGUUUUAGCUGGGCACAUGACUGCCCUCAAUAAAGAUUAAAGUACCCCAGCCUUCCUUGAGAUUGUGGCCAUGUGACUGAACUUUAGACAGUGAGAUAUAAGCAGAUAUCUUCUGUGGCAGUGUUAGGAAACUAUUAAAGACAGUAAGAACAUUGCCCUUUGCCUUCUUUUUCCUUUCUUCAUUUUUCUGCCUGGAAUGCAAAUGUGAUGGCUAACACCCUAGCAGCCAUUUUAGAUUAUGAAGAUGAGAGUCACUCCCCAGGAAGGGUGGACCUGAAAGCUGGAUUCUAGAUGUGGAAUGACAAUACCAGCCCUGGACUACCUACCUGUAGGCUGUGUGUGUGUGUGUGUGAUUGACAGAGAGAGAGAGAGAUAGAUACCACAAGUAACACAAAGCAUCAUACCUGGGACUGGGAAGGUUAAUGUUUAAACAUUUUAAAUGUGGCAUUGGUUUGUUGAAGACAGUCAAGCAGUAGGUGCUGCAGGCUUUGUUGAGGCUAGAAAGCUGUUGGUCUUUAUUAGGUGAUGGCAAAACAAUGGAUCACAUUUUCAUGUGCUGUGUCUUGGGAGGCAAAUGAUGAGAAUGUAGGAUUGGGGAAAAUGGUAAGGAAAAUCCAAAAUGUUCAUGUUUUCUAACCCCUUCUUGCCAAUCUUAAAAGAAGGACAAACAGGCUAGAUUAAGCAAGUCUACAGUUACAAUUGGAAGGAAACACAGCCGUACUAAGGAAGUACUCUGUCUGUGGCCUGCAGUCUAGUUUGACUAGGUCCUGUAUUUGAGCUUUGAAAGAGUAAAGAAUACAAGUGCUCGUAUACCCCUGAAGUAGUUACCAGCAGUGACUGCAAGGAGGUAAUCUUAUGGGAUGAAACUAUAACUCUGUAUUAACCAUCAUAUAUAGCAUAUAUGUGUAUAUGUAUGUGUGUGUGUGUAUAUGUGUAUAUAAAUAUAUGUGUGUGUAUAUACACACAUGUACACACCCUACAACCCAGUGAUUUCAAAAAAUUAAACAUUUGUUUAGCUCAUGAAUCUGUGGGUUGGGUGAACAUUUCUAUUGGUCUUGGCUGGGCUCACCUGUACCCAGUCAGCUGCAGGGUCUAGCUCUUCUUAUCUUGGCUGGGAUCUCACACAUGUCUAGGAUCAGCUGCUUUACUAGUCUAGGAUUGUCUUGGCUGAGACAGGUGGACUACUCAGUUCUCCUCCACUGCCUUAUCCUUCAGCUGGCCAGCCCAGAAAUGUUGCCAUGUUUACAGCAUAAGAGCAAGCAAGAAAGAAUAAUAUGCAACCACUUUUCCAAGCCUAAGGUGAAAGGGCGGGCAGAACCUGUGGUGUUAGGAGGCAACUCAUACCAGCCCAUGGGUCUACCGUUUAAUUUUCAGAAAUUUGGCAAGCUGAUUGUUAACACAGCUGUUGUUUAAUUUAUGUACUUGUAAUUAAAUAAUUUACAUUAAAACAAAGAUA